rnacentral:rRNA from 1 species
GAUGAACGCUGGCGGCGUGCCUAAUACAUGCAAGUCGAGCGAACAGACGAGGAGCUUGCUCCUCUGACGUUAGCGGCGGACGGGUGAGUAACACGUGGAUAACCUACCUAUAAGACUGGGAUAACUUCGGGAAACCGGAGCUAAUACCGGAUAAUAUAUUGAACCGCAUGGUUCAAUAGUGAAAGACGGUUUUGCUGUCACUUAUAGAUGGAUCCGCGCCGCAUUAGCUAGUUGGUAAGGUAACGGCUUACCAAGGCAACGAUGCGUAGCCGACCUGAGAGAGUGAUCGGCCACACUGGAACUGAGACACGGUCCAGACUCCUACGGGAGGCAGCAGUAGGGAAUCUGCCGCAAUGGGCGAAAGCCUGACGGAGCAACGCCGCGUGAGUGAUGAAGGUCUUCGGAUCGUAAAACUCUGUUAUUAGGGAAGAACAAAUGUGUAAGUAACUAUGCACGUCUUGACGGUACCUAACCAGAAAGCCACGGCUAACUACGUG